rnacentral:rRNA from 1 species
ACGAUAACGGCGUCGAGCGGCGGACGGGUGAGUAAUGCCUAGGAAAUUGCCCUGAUGUGGGGGAUAACCAUUGGAAACGAUGGCUAAUACCGCAUGAUGCCUACGGGCCAAAGAGGGGGACCUUCGGGCCUCUCGCGUCAGGAUAUGCCUAGGUGGGAUUAGCUAGUUGGUGAGGUAAGGGCUCACCAAGGCGACGAUCCCUAGCUGGUCUGAGAGGAUGAUCAGCCACACUGGAACUGAGACACGGUCCAGACUCCUACGGGAGGCAGCAGUGGGGAAUAUUGCACAAUGGGCGCAAGCCUGAUGCAGCCAUGCCGCGUGUGUGAAGAAGGCCUUCGGGUUGUAAAGCACUUUCAGUCGUGAGGAAGGCGGUGUAGUUAAUAGCUGCAUUGUUUGACGUUAGCGACAGAAGAAGCACCGGCUAACUCCGUGCCAGCAGCCGCGGUAAUACGGAGGGUGCGAGCGUUAAUCGGAAUUACUGGGCGUAAAGCGCAUGCAGGUGGUUUGUUAAGUCAGAUGUGAAAGCCCGGGGCUCAACCUCGGAAUUGCAUUUGAAACUGGCAGACUAGAGUACUGUAG